UGGGUGUUGUGUAACUCUUCUGCCUUUCCAGUAUCAGCCGACCAUUCGUUAUCAAAAUGACAUAGCAAUUACUCAAGGACACUGUGUGCUAAUCACUGUGCAUAUUAGCUGGGAUACGGCAUGUCUGUCAGGGAAAAUUUGAAGGGACAAACUGAUGCUUACUUUUUCCUCUGUGUAAAUUGGAAAGUGAACAUCUACUGUUAUUGGAAACGGAGCAAAUCUUUUCUUGUGAUUGAAAAGAACAUUUUUGCCCCUCCUCUGAUUUUCAACAUCAUCAUUUUUGGAGAGAGGAAUCAUAAAUUUUAAGACAAUCCCUGCUCAGAGAUGUGUUAUUUAUUCACCCUGUUAACAGCCAUUUCCUGUAAUCAGUAUAAACUGAUCAAUCUGCCAUAAUGAGAAUGGAGCCAGCAGCUUCCUGGCCAGGGAUGAGUCUGUGUCUCUUCUGAUCUGCAGACAUAACAUAUUGGAAGAGAAGACCACUGAAUUCCCACAUGCUCAGCAGUGAGAACACAGCAGCUUUCCCCUCUGCAGAGUCCAGUGACACAGCUCAAGCAAGAAAAGAGGAAAACAGAAAAUCAGGAAAGGAACAUGGGUACCAAGUUUUGAACUUCUGAAAGAAAGAAAAGCCUUUUUAGGACCUUUAAUUUACAAAAAUGAGCUCUACCCCAGAUACACUUAGCCAAGUUGACCUUGGCUAAGUGUUCGAGCUGCCUUUAAUGAAGAAGGAUGCGUGUUGUAUAUAGAUCUUCCCAAAAAUCCAGGAAAAAGACAGUUGCCCAGUAACAAAGGGCCCAGUUCAGCUUCUCUUGCUCAUGAUAAGCAACAUCCCCUCUUUCAGAUGGUCCUGCUGCUCCCCUCCUCCUACCUGAGUAAGUAAACAUGACGGAACAUGGAUGAAGCACCAGGCAGGGCAGGGCUCUCUGCGGAUGGUCUCUGCAAGGGAGAGGGCCCACAGGGCUCUCUUGUUUACUGGGUAGCUGAUUUCCUGAUAUUUUCCUACAGUCGUCUUUGCUGUACAGUGACAUAUGAGGCAGACACUUGACCUAUGCCUGCUAUUUAAUUAAAUGCACUUCUCCACCUUUCUUCUUUGCGUCUGUGUCAUGAACCGUGUAAGGAUAGACAAAAUACAGUGUUGUUAAUAGGCAAAACUUAUGAAGCUUAAAUGGAAGAUUUGGCUGGUUAUCUUUAAUUAAAUGGGCAUUAAUACCAUGCAACAUCCUAACUCCGAAUGUGAAGGCAUUAAAAUAAUUAACUGGUCUAAUCUAGGUUUAAGAGGCUUGAAAAGUAUCUUGAAAAUAGGUGCCAGCGUGAUAGUAUAUCCCUGUGAAGGUGACCUUAAUGCUGCACAUGGAAGAAACAUGCAAGCAUCCAGUCCUUUUGGUGAGUUUAGCACAUGAAUAUGUAACAUCCCUUCGGUCCUACAAUGCGCAUUGCAUCACACCUCCAGGAGAGCUCUAAUGUGAAGACAGGUAAUACAACAGCUAGUGCUAAGUGAGGAUUUGUGCAUUUCCACAAGCCCUAGGCUGAUCCAAUGGUUUGCAUGCGUUAGGUGCAUGCCUGAUAACCAUCUUUUGGCGAGAUAAAAUUAUUUCUUCUUAGAGCACAAAACUAAGGCAGACUAAAGAAAGCUGCUCAGGUCUUUCCCCACAGCCUUGGAUACCAGUCUUGGAGAAAUGGUAUUAUUACACUGAAAUGUGCUUUCCACUAGAGACCUUUAUAUUGCUAUUUCUAGACCAAGGUAUUUGCACCCACUGAGCAUAUGCAUUUUAGACUUUUGGGGAAAAAAAAAAAAAAAAAAAGGAACCUUUACUUAUUGACCUAAAGAGAAUAACAAGAAGAAUAAGCAAGGCCAGUUGAUUUUACCUACCCUCCCCGAAGAAGACCCAUUGGCAGCGUGCAUCUGUUCAGGCUGGAAGGUCGUCAGCGGACACUAAGAUCUAGUAAAUUUUCUUUAAAUGGAAGCUUAAAUUCUGAGUAAAUUAAACUGUGUCCAUGCAAAUCAUGCUGCUGUUAAACAACAAAUCCUAAAUUAUAGUACAUAAAAUCAGUCAUUAAUGCUUGGAAGCUCUGAUCGCAGUAUUAACUCUGGGAUGGAAAAAAUCCAAACCACUAUAGCUAAAAUAGAAAGGAAAGGAAAGGAAAGUGCAUCCCUAAACCCUGUUGCAAUCUCGGCUGCCCAGUACAGUGGCAAUCUGCAGGAUUUUUGUCUUUAUUUAUCGGACUGCAUAAUCUAAUUAUCUCUCAUUAGUCCAAAGCUGAUUAUUUCAUUUAUCUUUGUAUAUGUGACAACAAAAGGCUCUCUUUAAUUAAGCAGAUCAGCAAUUAGCUGUUGUUUUAUAGGCAGUUUUAAACAUCCCUGUACAAAUAGCAUGCAGCAUGAUUGUAAUCAGAUGCUCAGGGAAGAAUUGUAGAUGAGGACAUUUUGAUUUACAGCCCCAUUUAGUUUAAAGCUACGCUGGCAAGUCUAACUCCAAAAGCAAAGGCUUAUGAGCUAUGGCCAAGUUGCCGAACAGGCUCGGUGGAACAAAGCCUAACUCAGAUCUGCCAGUGAAAUUUAGGAGAUCUGCAGAAGAGACUGUCAUGGGCUGACACAGAUGAAUAUGGGAACUCGGUUUCCAUCAGACAGGAUUGUUCACAUUCAAACUCCAUAGUGAAACAGCAACAGGCAUGUUUGCCUGUGCAGAGCUCUGUUCAGCUAGAGCAAUCAGGAGUGUCUGUGCUUAACUGAGAGAAUCACUUCCCAUUUGUGAUGAUGUUGUUUGCAGCAGCGGAUGAUGCAAGAAACACAAAACAACUUGAUUUAGUCCAUGAACUAUCCAAAAAUUCAGAGCAGCAAAAAGGCUGGAGUUCAGGUAUCCUUCCAAAAAUAUUUGGGUGAAUUCCACCACCAGUGAUUCCCUCAUCUCCUCUAAAAAAGGCCUCUCCCACUGGGGGGCCAGUUCUCGUUGUUCCUGGAAGAGGAGUGUGUAGUCACUGCCUUCCAGUCCUGCACUAUGGAUAUCAUAGCUGAGCCAAAAUGUCAGAGCAAGUUUUUGUUUAACCAUCACAAAAUUCUGCAUUAAUUUUAUCAGCAAACGAUUUCUUGCAUCUGGCAAAUAUGUAUGUGUCAGUACGGCUCAGGGUCUAGAGAGAAAAAAAAUGCAGAAAAGAAAGAAAAGCAGGAUUUUCUUUCCUUACAGUAAUUUGUGAACAUUAGGAAGUUUUAAUUUUAAGACAUAAGUGCUGCAUUAAGCACAAAGAAAUUGAAUAGGAUGUGUCUGGUAGUAUAGAGAGAAAGAACAAUGGAUUGGAAUGCAAAUCUGCACACAAACUCAUAUUUGUAAGCAUGGGUAUUGUCCAUUACUUGAGAGUAGCUCAAUUUAAAUAAUCAAUUUGCAAGAGAAAACUGCUGGUGCAUUUAAUAUACUGAACUUCCCCCACUGGACUGUGCUUGUGACCUACUCUGCUUAAAAUAUGGAGAAAUUAGAUUAAACAAACUAGAACAAAACAGAUGCUCCUUUCUUUACUUCAUUUUGCAAUUUCUUGUUUCUCAAAAAUCACCUGGAAAAUUAUGCUUAUUUAUGCUGAUACAAUUAUACAAUUUUCAAAAUACAUGUUUUUUUUUUGCUUUGCCUAAAGACAAUUAUUUUUUAUGUUUUUCACCCUUACCUUUGGAUGGAGACAUUUUAAGAUUUUUUUUUUUUUUUUUUUUUUUUUAACAGGAAUAACUGAUAUUCCAGCUAAAUGUGUGGGUUGCUCUCAAACCUACAAGGAGGUAUUGGAAACUCUGGAAGAAACAGGAAGGUCUUUCAAUGCCCUUUGGCCUUCUUUCUGCUAAUAGAAAAGAGAUUUCUCUGCACAGGACUCCUUUGCAAAGUAUAAUAAGCUUGGAGCAAUGCAGUGUUAUGAAGCUAUUUACCUGCUGGUAAUUGGCAAUUAAGCCCAGUAUAAAAGGCUAAUGGCAAUUCUCUUCUGCUUGCAGAGUAAGAGGUACAAAUCUUGCUUGAACAAACUGAAGACAUCUGUGAAACUCCCUGAAGUGAGUCAUGAAAAGGACAUAACCUCUCAACCACUUGCCAUGAAUUUUAAGGGCAGAGUCCCUAAAAACCAUAGAUGAAAUCAUGAAUCUAGGGCAUCUUGCAGCACAGAGGGAAUUCACAUUGAUUUGUAUGGAUGAGACAGUAGCAGUCUUCAUCUAAGUGUAGGGAAACAGCUAAGCUGGGCCCAGGCUCCUGGAGUCCUGAUGCAACCCCACCAUUGACUACAAACGUUGCUGGGAGACUUGGAUGACCCUCUCUGAACAAGGUUUUUAUUUAGAAGAAACAAACCACAUCCAGUAGCACUGCUCUCAGCACUGAUAGCAGGGACAGAAAAGGCUAACAAAAGGCUGACAAAAAAAGUGCUCGAAGUGAUUACUGAGUGGCUGUUGAACACAGCCUAGUGAAUAAGAAAAGGCCUUCUCUAGGGUGUUUUUUCCUUCAUAUUCUGUCCAAAACACAUCUGUAGAAACAGUGGUUGAAUCCCACCUAUUCUUUCUCUUAUCAAACGUGGUCUUAAAACGAGAAUAAUGCUCCUCCAUUGGGUAUAUUAUGGGAAGUCCCAUGGAUGAUUCAGGAUUACACUAUUUAGUAGGUACACUGAGAAGCAGAAAAAUAAGAACAGAAAGAGAAUCUCCUAGAUGGAUGAUAGCAUAUUCUCUGAGAGAGACCAGUGGAUCAUCAGGCAGCCUGGACAGUCUGCAGCUGCAAACUUCCAGAAGUGGUGACGUGUAGGACAGAGCUGCAUUUCCAUGCCACCUCACAGGCACAGCUGUGGUCACAGCUUCAUUAAAAGCCAGAAAUGACAGUCCUGUCUCAGAGUGUUUGUGACCUAAAGACACUGCUGCUAGACACCUCCUAGAAAGAGCAAAAGAGAUGUGACCCCAGCUCUUGGCCCCUACACAAAAAGAUGCCAGAGAAUACUGCAAUGAAGUGCUGUUAACCCCCUUUAACAAUAUUUUCCUCUUUUUACUAUUAAAUAUUGGUCAAUAUUCAGGCAAAAAAACAUCCCUGACUGCACUAUGAAGUCAAUAUGAAUUUGAACUCAUCAACCACAAGAACAGCUUUAAAUUAUGGCAGAAAAAAAAGUAGACUGAGCCAAGGGUUGUGACAGCUGAAAACCAUCUACACAACAAGAUGCUACAAUGGUAGCAUCUUCUCCUAUCCCAAAAACUAGAAUAAAAAUAAAAGUUCUGAAUGAUGUCGGAUCUCCAGUGGUGUGGGGCUGCUGGGGGAACCAUGGCCUUGCUGUUCCCUCAGCUGACCCAGGAGCCAGACCUUGGUCCACACUUGGCCACUCCAUGAACCCACGGUUCCUGCACCUGGCUGGAGAAGACAGUAAACUACAUUUAAAACAGCUUUCAGUGCUGGAUACCCCAUCAGAAGUGAGCUGCAUCUGAAGGGGAAGAGUAUAGCUGUGAAUUCCUCGAGGUAAAUUAUUUUGAUGCCAAGAACGGCACCACCAGCUAACUAGGUCUUCUGAAGCCUGGCUGCCCUUCAUUUUCAGCUUCUGACCAUUCGCUGGUUUUUGCACUUCUGACUUACUUCUGCCUCAUGAAGUGCAAAUGAGGAGCCUUUCUGAGACAUGUAAAUAUCACCUGAUGUUCCUCUAGUCCACUGGGCCAUAACCCAGACUUUCACUACAACACAGGUUUGCCACCACUGGCUACAGCCACGUGUUUCUUAUGCUUCAUUUACAUUUCGUAAUUCUCACAGGCUCUGAGUAAUAAGCAAAAAAACUGGCCAACAGCUCUAGCACAACUCUUUUUUUUUUUUUUUUUCCUUAGAAAAAGUAAAAUGUUAAGUACAUUGGCUUAUUUCUGAUAAAUAUAUAUUGCAGCAUAUAGUUUUUAGGACCUGAAGAACCUCUUGCAACAUACAAGAACAGUUUGAAGGUUAGGACUUCACAUUUGUACUUUUGCAAUAACACGGGCAACUCUUCUGCUUCCCAUUUUGCAGAUGAAGAAGCUGAGCAGGUCAUUUUAUGACCUUGUCUUUAUGCUACAGUAAGAGACUAGCAGAAUGGGAAAAGAAGCCAGAUUUCUUUCUCUGCAUUCCUUUCCCUCCUUCCUAAAACACUCUGGUCCCAAUUUUAUCAUUAAAAUAAAAUAAAUAAUGGAAACCACACAUAUGUGUGACCGACACAUUUUGGUCUUUUCUCUGAAUCCAUUCAGACUCACCCACCUG